rnacentral:rRNA from 1 species
GAUGAACGCUAGCUACAGGCUUAACACAUGCAAGUCGAGGGGCAGCAUGGUCUUAGCUUGCUAAGGCCGAUGGCGACCGGCGCACGGGUGAGUAACACGUAUCCAACCUGCCGUCUACUCUUGGACAGCCUUCUGAAAGGAAGAUUAAUACAAGAUGGCAUCAUGAGUCCGCAUGUUCACAUGAUUAAAGGUGUUCCGGUAGACGAUGGGGAUGCGUUCCAUUAGAUAGUAGGCGGGGUAACGGCCCACCUAACCGACGAUGCGUAGGGGUUCUGAGAGGAAGGUCCCCCACACUGGUACUGAGACACGGACCAG